rnacentral:rRNA from 1 species
CAGCAGCCGCGGUAAUACGUAGGGUGCAAGCGUUAAUCGGAAUUACUGGGCGUAAAGCGCGCGUAGGUGGUUCGCCAAGUUGGAUGUGAAAUCCCCGGGCUCAACCUGGGAACUGCAUCCAAAACUGGCGAGCUAGAGUAUGGUAGAGGGUGGUGGAAUUUCCUGUGUAGCGGUGAAAUGCGUAGAUAUAGGAAGGAACAUCAGUGGCGAAGGCGACCACCUGGACUGAUACUGACACUGAGGUGCGAAAGCGUGGGGAGCAAACAGGAUUAGAUACCCCGGUAGUCCCUGUCUCUUAUAC